UUGAGGCUGUAGUGAGCCGUGAUUGAGUCAAUGCAGUCCAGCCAGGGUGACAGAGUGAGACCCUGUCUUAAAACAAAACAAAAUCUUUGCCUUCCCAGAGUUUACAUUUUCCUGGGGUGACACAAUGAACAAACAAAUACGUCAAGUGGUAGUAAAUGUUAAGAAGAAGACAAAAUCAGGAUAAGGGGAUAGAGAUGCAGUUGAUACUUUAGAGAAGAUGGUCAGAAAAGACCUCAUUGAGUUGGUGAUACUUGAUCUGGGACCCCAAGAGAAGAGUGCUUCUGGCAGAAAGAACAAGUAUAAAUUCCUCGACAUGGGAAUGUGCUUGGUAUGGUUGAAGAAGAGCAUGAUGAGGCCAGAUGCCUAAAAUUGAAUGAAAUCAAAGAAGGCGUAUGAACUAGAUCAUGUAGAGCCCCGUAUGCUAGGAUAAAGAGAGUGAUUUAUUUAAGUAAAAUAAAGGUUACUUGGGGGGAAAAUGAAAAAAUAAAUACAUAAUUUUAAAAGAUAGUGGUUUUUUGUUUUGUUUUUUUGUUUUUAUGAGACAGGGCCUAUAUUUGCCCUAGGCUGGAGUGCAGUGGUGCAAUCUUGGCUCAUUGCAAUCUCUGAUUCCAAGGCUCAAGCAGUCCUACCUCAGCCUCCUGAGUAGCUGAGACUACAGGCGUGUGCCAUCAUACCCAGAUAAUUCUUUUUGUAUGUUUUUGUUUUUGUUUUUGUUUUUUUUUGAGACAGAUUCUCGCUUUGUCACCCAGGCUGGAGUGCCAUGGCACGAUCUCGGCUCACUGCAGCCUCCACCUCCUGAGUUCAAAAGAUUCUUCUGCCUCAGCCUCCCGAGUAGCUGGGACUACAGGUGCACGCCACCACGCCCAGCUAAUUUUUGUAUUUGUAGUAGAGACAGUUUCGCCAUAUUGUCCAG
rnacentral:lncRNA from 10 species